UACGUAGGGUGCAAGCGUUAAUCGGAAUUACUGGGCGUAAAGCGUGCGCAGGCGGUUAUGCAAGACAGAUGUGAAAUCCCCGGCUUAACCUGGGAACCGCAUUUGUGACUGCAUAGCUGGAGUACGGCAGAGGGGGGGAUGGAAUUCCGCGUGUAGCAGUGAAAUACGUAGAUAUCUGGAGGAACACCGGUGCGAAGGCGGCGACCUGGACCGGCAUUGACGCUGAACAGCGAAAGCUAGG
rnacentral:rRNA from 1 species